UACGUAGGGUGCGAGCGUUAAUCGGAAUUACUGGGCGUAAAGCGUGCGCAGGCGGUUCGUUGUGUCUGAUGUGAAAGCCCCGGGCUUAACCUGGGAAUGGCAUUGGAAACUGGCGAGCUGGAGUGUGGCAGAGGGGGGUGGAAUUCCGCGUGUAGCAGUGAAAUGCGUAGAGAUGCGGAGGAACACCGAUGGCGAAGGCAACCCCCUGGGCUGACACUGACGCUCAGGCACGAAAGCGUGGGGAGCAAACAGG
rnacentral:rRNA from 1 species